rnacentral:rRNA from 1 species
UACGUAGGUGGCAAGCGUUGUCCGGAUUUACUGGGCGUAAAGAGCGCGCAGGCGGUCGGAUCAGUCGAAUGUGAAAGCCCCCGGCUCAACUGGGGAGGGUCAUUCGAUACUGUCCGACUCGAAGGCAGGAGAGGGAAGCGGAAUUCCCGGUGUAGUGGUGAAAUGCAUAGAUAUCGGGAGGAACACCAGUGGCGAAGGCGGCUUUCUGGCCUGUUCUUGACGCUGAGGCGCGAAAGCUAGGGGAGCGAACGGG